rnacentral:rRNA from 1 species
GAUGAACGCUGGCGGCGUGCCUAAUACAUGCAAGUCGAGCGAACAGACGAGGAGCUUGCUCCUCUGAUGUUAGCGGCGGACGGGUGAGUAACACGUGGAUAACCUACCUAUAAGACUGGGAUAACUUCGGGAAACCGUAGCUAAUACCGGAUAAUAUUUUGAACCGCAUGGUUCAAUAGUGAAAGACGGUCUUGCUGUCACUUAUAGAUGGAUCCGCGCUGCAUUAGCUAGUUGGUAAGGUAACGGCUUACCAAGGCAACGAUGCAUAGCCGACCUGAGAGGGUGAUCGGCCACACUGGAACUGAGACACGGUCCAGACUCCUACGGGAGGCAGCAGUAGGGAAUCUUCCGCAAUGGGCGAAAGCCUGACGGAGCAACGCCGCGUGAGUGAUGAAGGUCUUCGGAUCGUAAAACUCUGUUAUUAGGGAAGAACAUAUGUGUAAGUAACUGUGCACAUCUUGACGGUACCUAAUCAGAAAGCCACGGCUAACUACGUG